UAAAGAUUCAUCGCUGAUAGAUAGGCAUGCGUUCCAUUAGGCAGUUGGCGGGGUAACGGCCCACCAAACCGACGAUGGAUAGGGGUCCUGAGAGGAAGGUCCCCCACAUUGGUACUGAGACACGGACCAAACUCCUACGGGAGGCAGCAGUGAGGAAUAUUGGUCAAUGGGCGUAAGCCUGAACCAGCCAAGUCGCGUGAGGGAUGAAGGUUCUAUGGAUCGUAAACCUCUUUUAUAAGGGAAUAAAGUGUGGGACGUGUCCUGUUUUGUAUGUACCUUAUGAAUAAGGAUCGGCUAACUCCGUGCCAGCAGCCGCGGUAAUACGGAGGAUCCGAGCGUUAUCCGGAUUUAUUGGGUUUAAAGGGUGCGUAGGCGGCCUUUUAAGUCAGCGGUGAAAGUCUGUGGCUCAACCAUAGAAUUGCCGUUGAAACUGGGAGGCUUGAGUAUGUUUGAGGCAGGCGGAAUGCGUGGUGUAGCGGUGAAAUGCUUAGAUAUCACGCAGAACCCCGAUUGCGAAGGCAGCCUGCCAAGCCAUGACUGACGCUGAUGCACGAAAGCGUGGGGAUCAAACAGGAUUAGAUACCCUGGUAGUCCACGCAGUAAACGAUGAUCACUAGCUGUUUGCGAUACAGUGUAA
rnacentral:rRNA from 1 species